rnacentral:rRNA from 1 species
AUUGAACGCUGGCGGCAGGCCUAACACAUGCAAGUCGAGCGGUUGAGGGGAGCUUGCUCCCUGAUUUAACGGCGGACGGGGGAGUAAUGCCUAGGAAUCUGCCUGGUAGUCGGGGAUAACGUUCCGAAAGGAACGCUAAUACCGUAUACGACAUAAGGGAGAAAGCAGGGGACCUUCGGGCCUUGCGCUAUCAGAUGAGCCUGGGUAGGAUUACCUAGAUGGCGAGGUAAUGGCUCACCAAGGCGACGAUCCGUAACUGGUCUGAGAGGGUGAGCAGUCACACUAGAAUUGCGAGACGGUCCAGACUCCUACGGGAGGCACCAGUGCGGAAUAUUAGACUAUUGGCGAAGGCCUGAUCCAACCAAGCCGUGUGUGUGAAAGAGGUCUUCUUAUUUUAGUGCACUUUCAGUUGGGAGAACGGGCUUCUGGUUAAUCUCCUGCAGUUUUGACGUUACCAACAGAAUAAGCACCGGCUAACUUCGUG